rnacentral:rRNA from 1 species
CCUACGGGUGGCAGCAGUGGGGGAUAUUGCACAAUGGGGGAAACCCUGAUGCAGCGACGCCGCGUGGGUGCAGAAGUAUUUCGGUAUGUAAAGCCCUAUCAGUAGGGGAGUAAGAAGACGGUACCUGACUAAGAAGCCCCGGCUAACUACGUGCCAGAAGCCGCGGUAAUAGGUAGGGGGCGAGCGUUAUCCGGAUUCACGGGGUGUAAAGGGAGCGUAGACGGCCGUGCAGGCCAGUAGUGAAAGCUCGUGGCCCAACGCCGGGAGUGCGCUUGGAACUGUGCGGCUAGAGUGCGGUUGGGGCAGGCGGAAGUCCUGGUGUAGCGGUGAAAUGCGUAGAUAUCAGGAGGAACAACGACGGCGAAGGCGGCCUGCUGGACCGCGACUGACGUUGAGGCUCGAAAGCGUGGGGAGCGAACAGGAUUAGAUACCCGGGUAGUC